rnacentral:tRNA from 1 species
GGCUCCGUAGCUCAACUGGAUAGAGCAUCUGACUUCUAAUCAGAGGGUUGGGAGUUCGAGUCUUCCCGGAGUCGCCA